AGAAUCCUUAGAAGAGAAAGCAUGGGUCCUGCUUUCAAAGGUCCCACCUGGACAGCGCCCUGGGUUUUGCCUGUCACCUGUGCCCACAGCCAGUGGAAAUGAGCCAAGGGACUACCAACGUGGGCGUGUGGGACAAAAGCAUCCUCUUCCCGAGGAUGGGUGUGUGCCUAGCAGGGCUGCAAGUGACCUCCAGGGGCUGGAGCUGUGAUCUGCAAGGGAUAGGGAGGGGGCGGCCCCAGGGUCUGUAAGAAAUGGUCUUUCCACCUUGGCCAGCAGCUAGGGAAGAUACCCCAGCCCCCUUGGGAGGCUGAACAGUAGUGACUCAGUUAGGGAUGGAGCUGACCAAGGCGGCCUGGCCCUCCCUCACAGAAGGCGGCCUGAGUGGGUGUGGGCUCGGAGACCCUGCUGUCUUGGGGUGAGGCGGGAAGGGAGGGGCCGUGGGUGGUGUUAGUGAUUAGUAAUCAGCAGCGGCUGAGAGCCAGGUGCAGCAGCAUCAGAGAGGCCAGCACUGGCCGUGGAGAAAGUGGUGUGUGGUGAAUGGCCCUCUCAGACUCCUGAUGCCGCCUUACUCUUGGCAUCUCUUUCUUGAUAGCUCCUAUUUUACAGAAAGUAAAGCAGAGGCCUGGCCCAUCACUCACAGAUCAGGGGCACAGCACAAUCUAAAACUCCUCUGUGCCAGCCAGGAGUUGUCCCUGUGGCCUGUCCAGCAGUUGGUCCCCAGCUCAGGUCCUGCUUCCUCUGGGACCCUGUGCAGGGCAGGCAGGAGUCAGAAGCCUCCUGUCCAACCGCAGGGCCCCUGACAGUUUGUCCCAGACCCCAAGCCCUGUGCGGAAAGCUGGACACUGGUCAUGGUGCAGGGUUUGCUACCCCAUUCCUGCUUGGGCCAGCCUGGAUUUGGAGAAGCAGAGAAACACGCUUUGUUUUGGUUCCCAUAUCACAGCCUGUGUGUGGCAGCCUUGUUGUCCAAAUGGGGAAACUGAGGCUUUUCGAGAGGAAGAGGACACAUUAGGGAGAGAGAGACAGAACUGGGGCUCUUCGGUGCUGUGAGAGUGGGAAUCUUGUCUUUUUUCCACUGAACAGUCCCGGCAGCUGACAUUCAGUCGGUGCCUGAGCAUGCCAGUUGCUCAGCUGGUGUGCUGGAGGGGUGGAAGGACGGGUAGUGAACAGAGGGACGUCAUGAAACCUCCACUCUUCCAUCUCCAGACCUGUGAGCACGCAGAUGCUCUCCUUAGCCUCUUAGCUUCCUGAUUUUUCUCAAGGAAGUAAUGUUUGUUGGUUGCUUGAUUCAUUGGAAUGACCGACUUGGAGCCAGUGGAGCCCGAUCCCUAGCAAUGUCCCUCUGGAAGCUUAGUGUGCUGAUGGUCCUCACCUUGUAUGGUGUUGGCCCUCCAAGCCACUGAAGACAGCCUGAGUUCCUAUGAUGGGCACAGCGCUCAGAGCACAAGCAUGAGUGCACACACAUGCUCAAGGUUUGCAUGUGGCUUCAGGGCUGUCAUGGAUACCCCAUAAGACAAUAAAUCCCAGAUCCAGGUCUGGCCUCAGUGGUGCUCCAGACUGGCUAAGUAGUAGGGCCCUUUCCAGUUCAGGGACCCCAGAUUCAUGCUUUCUGCUUGCAUUUGGCAACUAUGCUGUAGAGAGGAAAGGAAGCAGGUCCUUGGUGCUUGGGUGCCAGUUGCAGGGAAGGCCCAGAGCUGUGAAAAUGAGUGCCCGUCAGGAGGCUGUGAGAAACGUGUGCCUCUUGGUGGCGAAGGUGUCCAGGGGCCCUGGGGAAGGGUCGCCACCCCCAUCUUGGCCAGCCCAGCACUGGUCUUGGUCCCAGGCGCUGAGCAGCAGCGUGUAUAAGAGCGCCUCGCCCUACGGCUCCCUCAGCAACAUCGCUGAUGGCCUGAGCUCGCUCACUGAGCGCUUCUCAGACCUGACCCUCAGCUCUGAGGCCCGCAAGCCCAGCAAGCGGCCCCCGCCCAAUUACCUGUGCCACCUGUGCUUCAACAAGGGCCACUACAUCAAGGACUGUCCCCAGGCCGUGGUGUCAUGGAGGGGACACACCUGGCGGUGGCAGACGGAAAUGCAGCAAGGGCAGCCUUGGAGAGGAGCCCACUCGGCCGCCCACCCUACACACGUGGAUGCUCUUGGACAAGUCCCACCCUCUCCUGGGCCUCAGUUUCACCAGCUGCUGAAUGAUUUCCCUGCCCUGGAGGGUUCUGGGAAGCACUGGAUGCGAACCCGCCAAUCAGGGAGCCCUGGGCAUAAAGCCCAGCCCAUGGGUGGUGCUACACAAAUACGCCCUUUCCAGGACCUUCCUCCUCUAGCUGGUGCCCAUAGGUCACAGCCCUAGCUUCCUUGUCACCUCCCGGGCCUCCAUCCCUCCCCUGUGCGGCGUGGUCUCUGAGCAGAGGCGGGCAGCACCGUUUCCUCCCGACAGCGCGGGAGGCAGCCCCUGGUCAUCCUCCAGCCCCUGGACGGAACCGGAAGUGCAGAGACAUUGAGCGACUUGCUGAGCCCCCUCACGUGGUCACAGGCAGAGUGGCUUUGUGACUCGGGCACCUGGCCCUGGAGCCCCAGAUCUGAGCCUGGUUCCCUGCGACAGGGUGUUGGUGGCCCUGUGACAGGGCCUGGCUGAGCAGCUGUGGGAAUGGCCACCCGCCAUGUCUCACCCCACAGGAGGGCCCUGUCCCUGGCUCACCCUCUUCCGUCUUCCUGUUUCUCCCUCACUGUAAGCUCUGAGCCCCAUUCCCUGGGUGUGUUUCCCGCUCCUUACUGAAGCAGAGGUUCCCUAGACCCUGAGACCUGUGUCUAACUGCCUGGCUCACAUUAUUUUGCACAGACUACUUGACCCCUCCCUCUGACCCCUGCCCUUUGUCCCAGCUGUGUGAGGUUGGGAGCCAGGUCCUGGAGCAGCCUACCUGGGAACAGACCCCAAAUGCCCCCUUGCAUAAAGGCAUCUCAGACCCCACUGUGGGCAUAGCACCUACCUGCUUCCUCAUGGCCUUUGACAGGGUAAGUGGAAGCUGGAUGCCCUGAGAAGGACCCCUGUGCUACAGGACAGUGACAGGGAGGAAGGCUGCCUGGAGCCCGGUGCCAGGCCCCGGGGAGACGGUGCAGCACAGGGCUCGGGGGCACGCCCGCUAACCAAGGCCCACAGGGACCCAGGCCGACCCUUUACCUCUGACUAGGCGAGGCCCUGACGUGUACUCAGUGUUCCUUGCUGUCACUGUCACGGGCGUUUCAGACCUGCAGGGAGGGGGAAAGAGCCGUCUCCCUGCGCUGCUCUGCCAGGACGUCCAGUGAGGAUCCCAAGACGUUAGGUGGCCCUGCUCCCUCUCCAAGUCUGGAUCUACAGCCUCGGCACGUUUACCCUUUUUUAGUAUUCUUCCAGGAAUUCUAGCAAGCUGUCACCGAGAGGUAGAAGAAGGAAAGAGAAAGAAAGAUUGAGUACCGGAAGAAGAAAUUAGAUUUCAUAUACCACUGUUGUUCUAUACCACAGUUGAUGGACGAUACCUGAAACAAAUGGAGGCCAACGAAAUCGUGGAAAGCAAAACUGCAGAUAAGGGGGUUACUGUGACUCAGGCUCCGCUAGGGAGGUGAUGGGAUAUGAAGCUGGGGUGCACGCGCGGGAUGUAGGCGUGGUCUUUCAAAUUUACGUGUGCACGCGCCCAUGGAUACCGCAGUGCCACCGCUACAAAUGUGUCCCGCAGACACACCCGCUCGUGUGCACAGAAGUGGAAGUCAGUCGUGGUAGCCUUGUUGGUAACAACGGAAGAAAGGAAAGCAACCUACACUAUCUGAAAUGCUGCCUGUAAACGCGCCUCCCGCACUUGCUUGAACUCCAGUACUGUGCGCAGCCGCCCGCCCUGUGUGUGCUGCUGAGGGAAACCCCAAGGCACGCCCCAAAGGCGAGGGUCUGACACCGUACCAGGGCAAGAAGCGCUGCUUUGGCGAGUACAAGUGUCCCAAAU